UACGGAGGGUGCGAGCGUUGUCCGGAAUCACUGGGCGUAAAGGGCGCGUAGGCGGCCUGAUAAGUAGGGGGUGAAAUCCUGCGGCUUAACCGCAGGGCUGCCUUCUAAACUGUCAGGCUAGAGCACAGUAGAGGCAGGUGGAAUUCCCGGUGUAGCGGUGGAAUGCGUAGAGAUCGGGAAGAACAUCAGUGGCGAAGGCGGCGCUCUGGACCGAGACUGACGCUGAGGCGCGAAAGCGUGGGGAGCAAACAGG
rnacentral:rRNA from 1 species